ACAAAAGUGGUUAUUAAGGAAGUCCCAAAUAAGUUCUUCAUAACACAUAGACAACAUGAUAUAGAAGAAAUAAUGAAAUUCAAAAAAGGUUUUGGAAAUAUGUAACACAUAUGGAUUUAAAUAUUAUAUAGCAUAAACCCAACUAAAACAAUCAUUUUCUCAAAGGCCUAUAGUGUUGGAAAGCUUUUACCUUAAACCACAUUACAGCCUGAGAAAACGUGAUAGGUCCAAGCCCAGACAUUUAUUUUUAUUUGCAAAACUGUUUGUUAUUUUAUAAUUCCCAAUUUUCUAGGGUCUAUCCCACCCCAGAAUAAAAGCCAGCAUUUAUGACUAUUGUCACUACAUAAUCCUAACCAGGCAGAAUCCAGGGGUUCACCAUUCUCUUAGUAGCAGUAUUAAUUUGCUAAUCAAGUAGGACUUCCAGAUUUAAAUGUCCUGCCCAGUAGGAAAUCUGGAAUAAUCAGUUCAAAUUUUCUGGGAGUCUUACGAUGACUGUUGAACAUCUCUGAUCAAGCCCUUCAAAAGAGAGCUGCUUUCCUCUGACAACUGCUGCUUUAUUACAAGAUUGACUUUUUUAUGUCAGGGAUUCUAUUAGAAAGGAGGUCAACUUGGGAUCCUGAAUCAUCUCUACAAGAAACGUGGGUUCAGCUAGGGCUUAAAUUCAUUUAUGGAAGUAUUAAAACUCAACAAUAACUCAUUUGG
rnacentral:lncRNA from 1 species